GGGGAGGGCGGUGCGGGAGAGCGGACGCGGCCUGGGAGCCGCGCGGAGGGAGGAUGCGCCCCGGGGAGCGGCGGCCGCAGAUGGGAGCGGUGCAGAGGGCUCAGGCUCCGGGCAGCUGUCACCUGAAAGCCUCAGAUCCCCGUGUGGGCCUCUCCAUGUGGUCUUGUCUGCUUGGAUUAGUUUGCGCUUCCUCACAGCAUGGUGACUGGAUUCCAGGAUUUUAUUUAUUCAUGAGAGACACAGAAAGAGAGAGAGGCAGAGACACAGGCAGAGGGAGAAGUAGGCUCCAUGCAGGGAGCCCAACGCGGGACUUGAUUCCAGGACUCCAGGAUCGCGCCCUGGGCUGAAGGCGGCGCUAAACCGCUGAGCCACCUGCGCUGCCCUCAUGCUCUUGAAUUAAGGUACGCUUCUUGUAUCGCUGUGGCAGUAACACUAUAUAAGAGUAUGCUGUGGUGCCUCUUUGCCGGACCCAGCAUUUAGUAACAUCAUGUUAGUAGCUUGAAAUCAGCCAUGGGGGAUGUACUUACAGCACAGAAAUUACUUACAAACACAGAGUUUGACGUAUUGUUAUUUAUUUGUUAAUUAUCACAUUCAUUCAUCAAUUGUAACUAUAGGUUAUGGAGACAAGAGUAAAGGAAAGACCAAUGAAAGCAUUCUUUGAGGAUUGAUUGGCUAUAUGGAAUUGAUAAUAAACUGUAUUGUAUAUUUUAUUAUGUAUAAGUUGUGUGUUACACAUCGUUUAUAUCAGUAAAGUUUAUAAUAAAUAUAUCGGUACUUUUUUUCCCUGAAGAGCUGAUUGUUAAACAUUUACCAAACACACUACUCAACUGAGGUCCACUGUCCCUGAGACUAGCAGUGGGAUGAGGGUAUGCAACACAGAGGACGGCCUGCUCCCUCACCCCUGGCCCUGAACUGUCUGAUGGGGAGUCAGAUACGAAGGUAAUAAUACAGCCCUGGGUGAUGAGGAAGGAAGGUGCUGAGGAAUCUAGUCCAGGGAGGUGUCCAGAGGAUCUGAGACUCACAUGGGCGCUCAAAGGAUGAGUAAGAAUCAGCUAGCCAAAGGAACACCAUGAGCAAUGCUCAGCUGUGGGCAGGAACAAUAGCGACAGAGGAUGGAAAGUUGAGGACCCCCGGGCGUGCUAUGCCUGCAGUUAGUGGGGUCAGGUUUGGAUGGGCAAUUCUGUGCUAAUUCGACAAGUAAACAGUAGGUGUUGCAUGUUCAGAGCUUCUGGCUAGACUGUAAAAGGUGGCGGCGAUGAACAUGAGCUGCACAGGCCAUCCGGCUCCCCUGCACCCAGCUCUGCUGCCUGCUGAACAACCAGGCUGGUGGCCAAGCAGCUCUUGCCAGGGUUAGUCACUGCGGGCGUGGCUGCCCCCAAGUGGUCCAUCGGAGGCACUGCUGGGAGCAGGAAGGAAGCACUGAGAAGCCACCGUGGACUAGGGCCUGUGACACCCACAAGAGGUUGGGGAUUGGGAAUUGUACUUGUUUCCUACACUCAAGCUGUUCCAGUGAUCCCCAUCUUUUCAAGCUAACAAAACUGAGUUAUAACCUACACACAAUAGAGUACACAGAUCUUCAGUUUUCAGUUUAAUAAGUUUUGAUAAUUUUAUAUUACUUGUAACUACGACCCAAAACAAGAUCUAGAAUAUUUCUAUCGCCCCAGAAAAAAUUGUUCUCUUUUUAGUCAGUCAACUCGCCCCUCCCACCCACCCCACAAUCAGCAGCCCCUAGGUUCAUUUGUAUCACAUUAACUUUCCAGUUGUUAAACUUCAUGUAAGUGGAAUCAUAUAGUAUAGCUUUGUUUUGGUUUUUUUGGUCUGGCUUAUUUUGCCUAAUAUAAUGUAUUUUAGAUUCAUUCAUUUUUUUUAAAUGAAGAUUUUUUUUUUUAAGAUUUAUUUAUUUAUUCAUUCAGAGAGAGCGAAGAGAGAGGCAGAGACACAGGCAGAGGGAGAAGCAGGCUCCACGCAGGGAGCCUGAUGUGGGACUCGAUCCUGGGUCUCCAGGAUCACACCCCGGGCUGCAGGCGGCGCUAAACCACUGCGCCACCAGGGCUACCCUUUAGAUUCAUUUAUAUUGCUGCAUGUAUCCAUUGCUCAUUCAUUUUUCUCCUUGAGUCAUAUUAUAUUGUAUGAAUAUAUAAUAAUUUGUUUAUCCAUUCUCUUGUUGCUGGCUGUUUCCAGUUUUCAGCUACUAUGAAUAAAGUUGCAACCAAUUUGCA
rnacentral:lncRNA from 1 species